rnacentral:lncRNA from 1 species
CUCACGGGCUUCUCUCCGCCCCAUUCCCUCUCGGCCACGCCCACCACGGCCCACUGGCCAGGGAGCCGCUACGCAGAUGUUUUCGCCUCUGCGGGUGUAGGCUCCGGGUCGGGCUUCCGGGUCCCUUUCCUGGCUCUGGCGCCUUCCAGCUGUGUGACCGGGCGAGGCCCUGAGCCUCUUGAGGGUUCAGUGCCCUCCUCCGUACAAUGGGCCAACAACAGCCCCUUCCCUGGGGAUCUCGGUGAGGGUUGGUUGCUCUGCAGGGUGCCCUGGGCCUGUGCCAGCGCGCUCAGGCAUCCUGGUGACCAACCACAGCUGGCACUGGUGAACGCAGCCUCUUAGCCCAGGCAGGCUCUGGUCAGCCUCACCUGCUGGGACCGCUGAGUGGUCCAAGAGCUGGCUUGGCUGACUGGGACCUGGGCCUCAGCUUCCCCAUCUGUGCAGGGGGCCGCUGGUGAUACCGGUCCCUGCCAUGCCCUGGUGGAGAUAUGGCCCAGUGAGACUUCGUGAGGGGUCUAGGCCACUGCUGUCACGUGGUACGUCUUCUACCCUGGCCCCUAGGUGGCCCUGGCCUCAGCCUUGCUCUAAAGAGGAAUGAAGCCCAGCCCACAGCCCCUUAGCACAGAUACGCUCGGGAGACGGGACCCUCACCGUUACUCAUCUCCUUACUGUUCCCUGGACACCUUGGGGUCCCUGCGCCUCUCCACCCGUCCCUGCCAGGUCCUCCUGCUCCACCACAGGCCAUCUCCCUGGGCCUCAUCCAGACAGCUGGACACUGAGCACAGCUCUGUUGUCCUCUUCCCUGGGCUGAGUGGACUCAGAGGUGCUGGGGACUGCAUGGCCGCCGGACGAGGCGGGGGCUUUCCAACCCAACACCACCGAGCCUGCCUCUUCCUGCCCUGGAUGCUAUGUCUUCCAUAGAGCCGCUUUUCCAACACAGCAGGUAUGAAGUAUCCACCGGCCAUCUGAAAAUAAUGCAGUAACUAAGAAAAACAGUGGCGAGAGGAAGGAGUGUCGAUGCCCCAAAUGGAUCAUCUUCCAGAGCACGUCUACACCGAGAUCAAGAAUGAAAAGGUCUGGGCAAGAGGCCCCGCCGCGUUCCCUUAAUUCUCAGGUCUUUGGAGUGAAUGCCUAAGGCCUCCAAGCCCCGGGUCUCCUCUGUAUCAGGCGCUCACGCUGUGGGAGCUGCUUUCUCUCUGCUCCACUUCUACAGAGAAAGAAAAUCACAAGCAUUUCCCACACUUCCCCCAAGCCUUGACGUAUCACAGUUCACUCAUGGAGUUGUCAACAGACACAGGCACACACAGACCAGACUGUGGGCUCGGGAGGCGGGAACAAACCCCUCCUUCAGGAGACCUGGCAGCAGGCCAGGGGGCGCCCCAGGGCCCACCCAGCGCAGGGGCAGGCAGCCGCUCCCUCCUGCCCCUCGCCUGCUCCAGCUGUGGGCACUGGGGGCUGCCCCUGGC